UACGUAGGGUGCAAGCGUUAAUCGGAAUUACUGGGCGUAAAGCGUGCGCAGGCGGUUUUGUAAGUCAGAGGUGAAAUCCCCGGGCUUAACCUGGGAACUGCCUUUGUGACUGCAAGGCUUGAGUGCGGCAGAGGGGGAUGGAAUUCCGCGUGUAGCAGUGAAAUGCGUAGAUAUGCGGAGGAACACCGAUGGCGAAGGCAAUCCCCUGGGCCUGCACUGACGCUCAGGCACGAAAGCGUGGGGAGCAAACAGG
rnacentral:rRNA from 1 species